rnacentral:piRNA from 1 species
UAAAGUCUUGAUGGGCCUUCCCUGUAUCUG